UAAGGCUGGAGAUGCCAUGUGGUAUGCAAGGGAGUGGGAAAAAAAGCAAAUCUUUGGCUUACAGGCCGCAGAGUUGACAUAGACUGAGGUUGUGGGCCAGCCACAAUUAUCUUGGGACUGUUGUUCUCUUCUGCUGGCACGUCAUCUGCCUGCAACAGUGUGCUGACUGAGCUUGCUUGUCAGUUGUAGCACUAACCCUACCACUCCUUUGCUCUGUAGAGCAUUUUUGCAUUUCAGCUGUGGAUCAGAGCUGCUAGUCUUUCUGUUCCUCUUCACUCAAGGCAGGAACAGAAGAGAUUUUCUUGUAAGUGCAAAUGCCACCCUAGGAUGUGGCUAUGUGCUCUCUGAAACCCUUGCUGGUUUUACCAACCUGUGUCUCCUGUUUGUUUCUAGGAAGUUCCUGUCAGUGCAGUAUUUAAGCUUUGGUUGUGAUAUUUAAUAGCACAGGGGAGGGUCACCCAGACAGCUCUCCUAACCACCAGACCACACCACAUGUGUAGCAGCACUAUAGGUAGUACCCAGCAUGCCCUAGAAACUCAGAGAAGGUGGGAGUAAUAUGUCUUCUCAGCAGAAAUGUUCCAAAGCUGGAGUUCCUCAUACCAAGUCACUCUACACGCAGUGCCAAAACAGGCAGACUCUAUGGGAAGGGAAACUCUUAAGUCUGAGAGAGGCACUAAAUCCAGUAUUGGUUGUGGCACUGCUGAAGCUAAUUAUGGCUGGUAAGUAUGAA
rnacentral:lncRNA from 1 species